GGGGUAGUGGCUCAGUGGUAGAGCACUUGCCUAGCACGUGUGGCACUGGGUUCAUUCCCCAGCACCACA
rnacentral:tRNA from 1 species